UACGUAGGGGGCGAGCGUUGUCCGGAGUUACUGGGCGUAAAGCGCUUGUAGGCGGUCCACCAAGUUUGGGGUGACAGUUGCCGACUUAAUCGGCAAAGUGCCUCAAAGACUGGCGGACUUGAGGGCCACAGAGGGACAUGGAACUCCAGGUGUAGUGGUGAAAUGCGUAGACAUCUGGAAGAACACCAAAGGCGAAGGCAGUGUCCUGGGAAGUUCCUGACGCUCGGGUGCGAAAGCCAGGGGAGCGAACGGG
rnacentral:rRNA from 1 species